rnacentral:lncRNA from 1 species
AGCUGGCUUCUUGCGCUUAGGGAGUGUUUCCCAUUUAAACAAACACUACCGAAGAUGGCGGAGAGUUAAUACUAAAGAGAGAGAGAGAGCGAGAGAGAGUGUGUGUGUAUGAGAGCGAAGAAAAAAAAAAAAAAAAAAGAAAAGGUGGUCUGCUUAAAGGAAUACGUUUAAGGUGCUGGGCGGAACCGGACCGAGGCGUUGACCUGACCAGACCCCUGCUGAGAAAGCGCUUACACUGGCAUCCUCCUUCUGCCCAAGGAUGUGAAGCUGAAUGAAAGUCUGUUCUUAUCAUUCUACACUGCUGAAGAGGUAAGUUGAUGACAACCUUUUUUUUCCUUUCUUUUUUUUUUUUUAUAUAGAAAUGCAAUAGACGAAGCUAAUAAAAUCCCUCCACUCGCUCGUUCCA